UACGGAGGGAGCUAGCGUUGUUCGGAAUUACUGGGCGUAAAGCGCACGUAGGCGGCUUUGUAAGUUAGAGGUGAAAGCCCGGGGCUCAACUCCGGAAUUGCCUUUAAGACUGCAUCGCUUGAAUCCGGGAGAGGUGAGUGGAAUUCCGAGUGUAGAGGUGAAAUUCGUAGAUAUUCGCAAGAACACCAGUGGCGAAGGCGGCUCACUGGCCCGGUACUGACGCUGAGGUGCGAAAGCGUGGGGAGCAAACAGG
rnacentral:rRNA from 1 species